rnacentral:rRNA from 1 species
GUUUGAUCAUGGCUCAGGAUGAACGCUAGCGGCAGGCUUAACACAUGCAAGUCGUGGGGUAACAGGUGUAGCAAUACAUGCUGACGACCGGCGCACGGGUGAGUAACGCGUAUGCAACCUACCUUUAACUGGGAGAUAGCCCGAGGAAACUCGGAUUAAUACCCCAUAACAUCCUGAAUUCGCAUGUUUUUAGGAUAAAAGCUCCGGCGGUUAGAGAUGGGCAUGCGUGCCAUUAGCUAGUUGGUAAGGUAACGGCUCACCAAGGCUACGAUGGCUAGGGGGCCUGAGAGGGCAAACCCCCACACUGGUACUGAGACACGGACCAGACUCCUACGGGAGGCAGCAGUGAGGAAUAUUGGGCAAUGGACGCAAGUCUGACCCAGCCAUGCCGCGUGCAGGAUGACGGCCCUAUGGGUUGUAAACUGCUUUUCUACGGGAAGAAACUCUCCGACGUGUCGGAGUUCGACUGUACCGUAGGAAUAAGCAUCGGCUAACUCCGUGCCAGCAGCCGCGGUAAUACGGAGGAUGCAAGCGUUAUCCGGAUUUAUUGGGUUUAAAGGGUGCGUAGGCGGAAUAAUAAGUCAGUGGUGAAAUCUUGCGGCUCAACCGUAAAAUUGCCUUUGAUACUGUUAUUCUUGAGUAUAGUUGAGGUAGGUGGAAUGUGAAAUGUAGCGGUGAAAUGCAUAGAUAUUACACAGAACACCAAUUGCGAAGGCAGCUUACUAAACUAUUACUGACGCUGAGGCACGAAAGCGUGGGGAUCAAACAGGAUUAGAUACCCUGGUAGUCCACGCUGUAAACGAUGAUCACUCGCUGUUAGCGAUAAACAGUCAGCGGCUAAGUAAAAGCAUUAAGUGAUCCACCUGGGGAGUACGACCGC